CCUGCAGUCCCUAUGCAAAAGUACAUAGGGACUGCUGGUACUAUAAGUAUAUAGGGGAUGCAAGGAGUAGUAGUCAUAGGUACAAGAAUAUAACUUACAUUCCUCGUAUUCAUUUUUUAGAAACGAAAAAAAAAAAAUCCCGCCUGCCAGCUUGACGGCCUUCCCGCCUGCUAGCUUGACGGCCUUACCGCCUGCCAUCCUUCACGCCAGCCUGCCGGCCAUUCUAAAUUUCCAUAAAUGGAAAGUAAGGGUCUGCUUGUCGUGUGAUAAGUUCAAAUAUUAUUAUUAUUUUUUUAAUAGACAUAUCUUCUUCAAGUGAGGCCGGGAGCCCUAAUCCUCGCCGACAUCGGCGAAAUGCUACGUCAUCAUCUAAAGAUGAGGUGCAUCCCAGCCAACAAGAAACAGCAGAGGAGGAAAGUGGGGGUGGAGCACAGCCAUCUCAUCCCGUUGCCUCACAGAGAGGUCCUCAAGCCUCCACCAGAGGAAGUCGGGGAGAUCGCGGCGGUCAGGGUCUUGCUUCCAGAAUCUCCAAUUUAACUUUAAUGGCGAUAGAGCUCAAUUG